AAUAAAAGUUAUUUUGUUAUAUUAAUAACUUGCUUCCAAUAGAAAGGGCUUUCGGAUACAUGCCGCAUUCUGCUACAGCGUUGCGCCGACGUUUCGCAAACGUUACAGUUUGCAUCAUCAGAGCUAGGAGCUCCGAUAUGCUUCGAUUUGCUCCGAUACCGAGUUCUCUUGAAUCGUAACCGUCCUUAUAUACCCUUUGUCCUGGUAAUAGCGAUAGAAGUGAGGGGAGGGGACGGAUUUAUUCGUUCAAUAGUAGCACAGUUCAUUAGCCUACCAUUGGUCAACUGUUGGCCAAUUUUAAUACAAUAUUGGCUUACUAUUUGCCAAUUAAUAUGUUUGGAAAUGUUUUUAAUUGAUUAAUUAAAAAACUGGGAAGAUAGUGUACUAAAUCGGGCUUAUUUGAUAACCUUUAUCACGAUUAAGGAAAAUAUUCUUUUGUGGUUUGAAGAUCACUUUUAUGUUGUGUCUACACAAAAUUUUGCUAAUGCGUUCUGUCGUACCUUGAAGAUACGGAAGGAAAGUCAUCUUGUUCUCUUCUCUUUCUUUUUCUUCCUCUUCAUUCGGCGUCCCGAUGUUGUUAAUACUGGAAAUUUUGUUCUUCAAUCUUUGAACUGUUUGACUGAUGUUUCUACUACUAUAUCCAUUUUUUGUUAGAAAUUGAUUGAGAUGUUCUAAUUUCCCAUUCAAAGAGGUUGGUUCAGAAAUUUUAAGGGCUCUGGGUGCUGUCCCAUGAGCCUCGGAAAACGGAAUCGGAAAGGCGGAAUGGAGUGAUUAACCAAUUGUAAGUUUUCUGUUCUGAUUUUUAACAGUGUGGAGUGAUUUUUGACGGAAGGCUAUGAAAAAUUGGAACACGGAACUUGAACCUGAGCUUACAUAAUUUUGCGUAACAAUUGAUAAGAUGAUUACUAUUCCCUUCUUUUGGUCAAAGUAUAAAUAUGUAUUUUGUUAUGUUUUCUAAAUCAGCGUCGUUGUCAUUAAAGAAAACAUUUGAACUAGAAGUAGAAAGAACAGGGUUAUUGUAUGUUACACCAGCUGUUUCUUUUCGAUUUGAUAACUUUAUAAAUGUGAAUGUUCUGAAACAAGAAAAUAAAUAAAUUAUUAUUAUUUUGAAAUAAAAUUUAACACAAUGUGACUUACUCUAUACAUUUUAAUGUGUUAUUAAGGAAUGUCAUCGUGUCAUAAUAACGAAAAGAUGGUUUGCUUAUGGGAGUUCCGGCAGCACCACUUCUUUUUUCUGAGGAUUCUGCCUCUGACUACCAAACGUUACACUAGUCUUUAGCACUUUGUCAAAUAGUGUGUUGUUGCUCCUUUUAAUAUUGUGUUUUUAAAAUCUGUGAUCAACAUAUAUAAGUUUACAGUUUUCUACAAUACGCAUAUCAGUUUAUGUUAUUCAUAACACAUUUUCCAUCGCUUUUGAUCUUAUAGAUUUAUUUUAAGAUGAAAACCGACUUACGAAAAAAUUUCAUUAUUUUUUAUUUUAUUCAUUUAAUUGUAUUAUUUAUUGGUUCACGUUUUUACUUAUUAUGACACAUUUAAUACGAAAUGCACUGUUUUAUGGUCAUCUUUUUUAAUUGUUUAAUUAUAUUUUUGUGUCCAUUAUUUUAUUUAUGUUUAAGUUCACACAUAUUGGUAAUUUAUUAUGACUGAAGAAGACUAAGUAUAGUCGAAACGUUUCGAAAUUGAACAUUUUUCAACAUAGUGUUAUUAGUCGCGUUUAUAAUUAUAUGAUGUUUAUUUAAUAAAUUAUAAUGUAUUAGGAAAAUUUGUCUUGGUUUGAUAUAUUGACCUAUUUAUCGUAUUAUUUUUUCUUUUUUCUGUGUUUAAUAGUUUCUUAAAAUUUUUUCUGGCUUUUAAAUAGCAAUUUCUCAAGUAUUGCCAUCUUUUUUCAGCUUCAAGAGGUUAAUAUACUCCUAAAAUAAAUACUUUUUUAAAGAAACAUGCUUGCAAAUAUAAAAUAGUAGUAACGUAAAAUUACAAAUUUACCUUCUAAACAAUUACUGAUUUCUUGCCAAAGAUUUUUUCUUUUUAAUUUUGUUUUUUCAGAACAUGGUGUGCGAUAAUCAUGUAAGGCCGGACGUUGUUGCACCAAACUUAUAAGUUCCUCAUUUAGUUGUACUACAGUUAGAUCUUUUGUUAAAUUUGAAGGAUCUAACAAAGCCGUUUCACUGUGUUCAAAUUUUUUGAACUUUUAUCUAAAAAAUAAGAGUAAAAACUCAUUACUGCAACCAAAAUUUUGUAUUACUUACAUAGCAUAAAAGUAGUAUAUAACAUAAAGAAUUUUUUAAUGCAAUUUUGAAAUAAAUUUAUUUUAUUAUUAUAUAAGCAAUAUUAAAUUUAAGUCGAAAUACAAGCAAACGAAUUAUAAUUGUUUGCUCGUUUUUUGACCUAAAUUUAAUAUUUUAUUGUUUAGCAUAACUGAGCAAUAAUUGUAAUUCUUUUAAAUUUUAUUUUAUUAUCUUUCAAAGUUUCUUCAUCAGACAAAAAAUUACUCAAGUUUUAAAUUAAAUUUCAAAACAGUACUGAAAAAAAA